UUUGGUUUCCUCUACACACUGAAUAACAUUGGGGAUAGGCUACAAUCUGUUCCACUCCCUUUUCAAUUACUGCUUUUCUUGCAUAUCCUUCAACUCUUACAACUGCAACCUGGAUACUGUACAAUAUGUGAAUAAUUUUAGCUCUCUGCAUUUCAUUCCUGCUUUCUUCAGAAUUUCAGAGAGUGUACUCUAGUCAAAACUGUCAAAACCUUUUUCUAAAUCUACAAAGAUUAUAAACAUAGGUUUGCUCUUAAGGUGUGUUUAAGAUACGCAGUAGGGUUAGUAUUACCUUGUGUAUUCCAACAAUUCUCCAGAGUGCAAACACAGAUCUUCUCCAAGGUCACUCAGUACCACUUUUUCCGUUCUUCCACAAACAGAGUCAAUAUUUUGCAACCAUGAAGGUAUUUUUGCUUGUCUCCUAUUUCUUGCAAACCAGGUGGCCUAGUUUUGUCAAAGCUGGCUCCACCGAGGCUCUCAAUAAUUCUGAAGGAAUGUAGUCCACUGUAGGGGACUCAUUUUAACUUUGAUCUCUCUGUGCUCUGUCAAAUUCAUCAGGUAGUGUAAAACAGUUAAAAAUCUGAAAGGAAUAACAAUAGUAUGAACUGGAUAUUAUUGUACUAUUAAAGUCCUUCAUGAGUCAUGAAGGAAAGUGAGUGAGGACAUGCGCGCGUGCCCAAACACACACACACACACACACACACACACACACACACACACACACACACACACAAAACUGUGAUGAGUAGCACUCACAUCUAUAGUGAGUAGUUGGGGGUACAGAAGGGCUGCCUAUGAUCUCUUAAUAACCUCUGGUUCUUUCAAAUGAUGUAGGUACCCUCUCCUUAAUUUCCCACCUUUCAGCAUUUUAUCCUUCAGUUUAAUCUGAAGUUUAUAACGAAUAAAUAAUGGUCAGAGACCACAUCAGCAACUGGGAAUUUCUUACAGUUUAAAUUCUGGUUUGUAAAUAUCUCUCUGAUUAUUUUAUAAGCAAUCUGGGACAUACCAGUGUCUCCUGGUGUCCACCACACACACAACUCUCUCUCAUGAAUCUUAAACCAAGUACCUGAAAUGAUGGAAUUACGCUGUAUGCAUAAUUCUGCCAGGUGGUUUCUCUUUCUUUCUUUUCGCCCAGUCCAUAUUCACCAUAUUCUCUUCCUUCUCCUACUAUUGAAAUGCAAUCCCUUGCCCUACACAAUCAGAUUUUCAUUUGGCUCAACUCUCUUAAGAAUUUCUUUUGUAUCAUUAUAGAUUGCUUCAACCUCUUCAUUGUAAUAAUGCAUUCACUAUCUUGUUCAUAAUAGCUUAUACACAUUCUAAUUUUGUUAUUUAUUAUUAGACCCCUCCUGCACUACCACUAUUUCAUUAUAUAUUUACAAUCAUAAACCUACCUGUCCAGAAGUCUUUUUUUCUGCCAUUGCACUUCACUAAUUCUCAAUAUGUAAUUUUAGUCCGUGUUUCCCUUUGCACAAUCCCUAACCUACCUAAGGGAUCUAACAUUUCACACUUGGAACCAUAGAACACCAGAUUUGCUUUUCCUGAUGAUGACCUCCUCCCGAGUUAACUCCCACCCAGGGAUCCGAAUGGGGGAUUCUCUUACCUCUGGAAUACUUUACCUGAAAGGAUGCCAUUAUCAUUAAGACAACAGUAGAGCUACAUGUGAUGUUUCCAGUACCAAGAUAGAAAGGCCACAUUGACUAAUGCAACAAAAUUACUGAUACUAAUAACCAUAGUAACUUAAUCUUCCUGGCCAGUGGCCUCCUGGCAUUUUCCUGUAGAAACCCAUCUAACUUGCUGAUUAUCCUCCAAUUCAGGCAAAGGUGAUGGUUAGUGUAUCCCCAUGUUGUCUUAUUACAUGUUUUGCAAUAAUAUGAGAGAAGAGUCAACUUUCUUUAUGUAGUUUAAAUUUAACUGACUUCCUAACAUAGCCAACUGCAAUUUUUAUUUAUGCUAGUACUUAGCAAAGAAAGGAAGGUUAAAGGUGGGAGGAACACAUGGAACAGUCGUAUAAAGGAAACAAACUUAAAAUAUUAUAAUGGAAAAGAAAGGGGUAGAUGAGAUGGAUAAAAUGAAACAAAGGAAGUAAUACUGCAUGAAAAACUUGAUGGAACACUCAAAGAUGUAAGCUGAAAUACGUUCUUUAGAAUUAUUAAGCUCUUUGCGAAAAACGGUCAGGACAAAAUUUUUCCAUCAGGUGCUCAAGAUAUGUGAUGCUGUUGAAAUACCACCAGCCUUCAAGAACAACAAAAUAAAAGUACCAAAGAAGGCAGUAGUGACACGAGAAUACAACACAAUCAUUAUUUUAACAAAUCAGGGUUGUAAAAUACUAAUCCAAAUUGUCUAGAAAGUGUCACUAACCCACUAAAAGCCAAUCUGGGAGAAGGCUACUUUGUGAUCUAGAUAACUACAGGGACCCAGCAAGCAAUACUGACUACAAUUUAGUUUAAAACAUAGUUUGAAGAAUGACAAAACCACAUGCAUAGCACUUUUAGAUUUAGAAAAAGCUUUUGACAAUGUUGACUAGAACACACUCUUAGAAAUUCUGAAGGUAGCAGAGAUAAAAGAAAGGGAGCAAAAGGCUAUUUACAACAGACUGUAGUUAUAAGAGUCAAAGGAAGUGAAGGGGAAGCAGUUGUUGAGAAGGGAUUGAGACAAGGCUGCAGACCAUCCCCCAUGUUGUUCAAUGUGGACAUUCAUCAAGCAGUGAAAGAGGCAAAGGAAAAUUUUGUACAGGACAUAUGAUACAAAAAUUCAAACUAAACACCAUCAAUACACCAGUCCCCAUUAGCAGAAGAAAUCAAACGUGUUUCUCACCUUUUCUCAGUAACAUAACGAUUCACAAAGUUGUAUGAACAAUACAAUAUCAAAAUAAGCUUUCAGUCAAACAUUAAAAUUCAAAAAACAAUAGAUUCACAACAACUUUUUGCUGCUCUGGAAUAUAUAAACUAACAUGUGACAACUUCUCCUGCUAGUACACAGAACAAAUAGCAUGAAAAUUUAAGAUUUGAUACAAAAGAGCACACUGACUCACUACAUUUAAAACAUGCAAAUAAAUUCAGUUUUGUCACCCAUAUAGUGUAAACUAGCUAUCCAACUGGACAUAUAAAAAAAAGCAACCUCCGUUACCUUACACAGUGUAGAGAAGGGGAUGAAGAUGGACCCUCUGCAACAGUUAGAGCCUUCUUAAAUAAAUUUAAUUUCAGAAUUUUAAAGAAUCUGUGACCUUGAAAAACUAAGCAGUUACUCUGAAACUAAAUACCUAGCUGCACUCUCUCUCUCUCUCUCUGAGUUAUUUGUGUGGGCACACAUGCCCCGUACACAUGCUUACAUGCGUGAAGGGGCAGGGGGCAAAAAACUGUGUAGGUAGACAGAGACGUAAGUUCAUGUGGAUGUCAGUUGCGGUAGUUACACAGAUUAAGAGGCUAUCACAGGAUAAACUAGUAUGAACUGCAUCAAAACAGUCUUAGGAUAGCAGCACUGAAACAAACAAACUGGAAUGAUGUACCAACAAAAACAUUAUCUUGCAUGAUUUAUCAUCAAUCUAAAUUUGCUCAAAAUUCAUGAACAGUUAUAGGUGUCCUUUCCUUUCAUUUUCUAUGGUUAUGAAAAGAUUGUCAGAAUUCAAAUAUGACUAUUCUUGAAGAUAAUCCAGAUGAAUAAUGUCAAGUAACAGCAACCACAAACAGUGUGCCAUGUGGUAUUGGAUGAUCUGCAAUUAAAUGCCUGAUGGGAUAGGAAUAUCAUAAUACAGAUGAGUAUGUUAUACAUCAAUAAUUAGUUUUUAGAAAGCAUUUUUCUAUCAGGUGUCACAGUUGGUCAAUGCUGAGCAAAACCAAGUGAUAAAAAAGUUAUCAAACAGUGUUUACCAAGAUGCAAAAUGGGUUACAUAAUAAUUUAUUACAUCAUGAUCACCUGAAACUACAGUGUUUACAUUAUUAGUUUUAGCACCUUAUUGCCAUAUUCACAUGUUAUCAAUACAUUAAUGGCUUCAUUAUGAUAAACAACAAUUCCAGUUAUGCACUUUGAACAUGAAGUUUUAUAAAAUUUCAGUAAAUGUAAUUAUGUUGGUGCUGUGUGACUUCCAUUUGGCAAUAUGUAAAUUCCUAGCUAACUGGAUUCUGGUUAUUAAUUACCUUACAUGGGAUAAAACAACAACAGGAAAACAUCACACAUGCUUUCUUCAUGAAUUCACUGAAACAAGUUUACUACACAGCAGAUGGAUUGUGAAAGAAAAUACUUUAUUUUCCAUGCAAGCAAUGCAUUUACCCAUUAAGCUGCUGUUGCAGUAGGAAAAGUGAAGGGUCUGAAUUAAAGACUAUACAAACAUCCAGCAAUUAACUUGAAUUGCAUCCCGUUAUUUUCGAUUUUUCCCACAUGAGAAGACAUUUGUUGCCAGAAAAUGUGUUCUGUACAUGGUAGCCAAAAAUUAGUAUUUUACAGACCUUCCUGAAUCUCACUUCAAGUGAAGGAUUAAUGUCACUGGAAGUAUGCUGAACAAAGUGCAAUCAUCUAAUACAAGACUAUAUCAAAUAUAACUGCCUUUAAAACAAAUAAUUCACCUUGAGGCAAAGACACUUACACCUUGCCAUCAAAUAUGUCAUACUACAUGUAUAAAAGAUGUCAGAAAGAAAACUGCCUAAUUAGGCAGAACAGCUGUCACAGACAUUUCACCACUCUAAAGCACACUUUCAAAAGAUGGUCAAAAGUCAUGUAUUAAAAUCAAAUGUGCUUUUGGCAGAAAUGCAGCAGAAUAUUGUCUAUGAUUAGAUGAAUUUUGUGCCAAGAAUGCAUUACCAUACAGGAUGGCUACACGAUGGGUAAAGGAAUUUCAUGUGGGUCAGAAUGAGACUGCAGAUUUUCACCUCACAGUCUGGCUUCUCAAGAUGAGACUGACAUCACAGACAGUCUUGUUUCCAUGCAGUUUUGAUGGAAUGUUAGAGAUUAUUUCCAAUAAGGUUGAUUUCAGUCACCAGUAAGUCUGGCACCUACUGAAGAAAUGUAUUAAAAUGAGGAAUAUUGCAUCCUGUUGAGUUCAACAUUGACUCACCAGCUUACAGAAGUUGCACCGAUAUGAACCGGCUGGCAACCAUCUGGACAGAUAUUACAUUUCUACAGUGUAUUUUCACCACUGAUGUGAUGUGAACAAGAGCCUACAAGCCUGAAUUAAAGCAUCAAUCGAGCAAAGGGAUCACCCUGAUUCACUAUGUCCACAGAAAUUUUGACAGGGACCAAGUUGGGAGAAGUUUAUGCAGAUUUUAGCAUACAACUACGAAGGUGUUAUUCUUAUGGGUGUUGUGACUAUUACUGCCAAUUACUAGAGCAUUUUCUGUAUCCAGCUAUGUGGUGCAAACAUCCACUUUUAUUAUCAGAUCAUUACACUGUUGUGUGCCAUGAUAACCAAUGUUUCCGCAUCGCAAACAAUAGCGAGGUCUUAUUGCAACAGUGGCAUUGGGAUGUCUUGGAGCACCUUUUGUACUCAUCAGAUAUGUGUCAUUGCUAUUUCAACCUGUUUCCAAAGUUGAAGGAACCCCUUCAAGACCACCAAUUUCCUGGUGUGGCACCUGUACUCUAGAGAGUAGAGUCCUCUGUUGCUAUCAUCCACAGAGAACUCGUUGCCAGUGGUCCCCAACAGCUUCCCGACAGUGGCAAAAGGUAAUAGACUUUGUGGGUGACUACACUGACGAAACGUAAUGCAAUUGUACAUGUUAGUUCAUUAAAUAUUGUAUUCUAUCAA